rnacentral:rRNA from 1 species
UACGGAGGGUGCAAGCGUUAUCCGGAUUCACUGGGUUUAAAGGGUGCGUAGGUGGGUCUGUAAGUCAGUGGUGAAAUCUCCGUGCUUAACAUGGAAACUGCCAUUGAUACUAUAGAUCUUGAAUUAUCUGGAGGUUAGCGGAAUAUGUCAUGUAGCGGUGAAAUGCUUAGAUAUGACAUAGAACACCAAUUGCGAAGGCAGCUGGCUACAGGUACAUUGACACUGAGGCACGAAAGCGUGGGGAUCAAACAGG